AGCGAACGCUGGCGGCAGGCCUAACACAUGCAAGUCGAGCGCACAGCAAUGGGAGCGGCAGACGGGUGAGGAAUACGUAGGAAUCUGCCUUUAAGUGAGGGAUAAGCAGGGGAAACCCUGACUAAUACCGCAUGAUCUCUUAGGUGCAAAGAGGGGGACGGCAAGGCCUAGCGCUUCUGGAUGAGCCUACGUCUGAUUAGCUAGUUGGUAGGGUAAAGGCCUACCAAGGCGAAGAUCAGUAACUGGUCUGAGAGGAUGAUCAGGCACACCGGAACUGAGACACGGUCCGGACUCCUACGGGAGGCAGCAGUGGGGAAUAUUGGACAAUGGGCGCAAGCCUGCUCCAGCAAUGCCGCGUGUGUGAAGAAGGCCUUCGGGUUGUAAAGCACUUUAGCCUGGAAAGAAAAAACUUUGGUUAACACCCAAAGUCUUGACGGUACCAGGAGAAUAAGCACCGGCUAACUCUGUGCCAGCCGCCGCCGUAAUAC
rnacentral:rRNA from 1 species